rnacentral:rRNA from 1 species
GACGAACGCUGGCGGCGUGCUUAACACAUGCAAGUCGAACGGUGAAGCGCCUUCCUUUUUGGUGGGUGUGGAUGAGUGGCGAACGGGUGAGUAACACGUGAGUAACCUGCCCCUUCUUCUGGAUAACCGCAUGAAAGUGUGGCUAAUACGGGAUAUUCUGGGUCUGUCGCAUGAUGGGUCUGGGAAAGAUAUUGUUUCGGUGGGGGAUGGGCUCGCGGCCUAUCAGCUUGUUGGUGGGGUGAUGGCCUACCAAGGCGGUGACGGGUAGCCGGCCUGAGAGGGUGGGCGGUCACACGGGGACUGAGACCCGGCCCAGACUUCUACGGGAGGCCGGAGUGGGGAAUAUUGCACAAUGGGCGCAAGCCUGAUGCAGCGACGCCGCGUGAGGGAUGGAGGCCGUCGGGGUGUGAACCUCUUUCGCCAGUGAAGCAGGCCUGCCUCGUUUGUGGGUGGGUUGACGGUAGCUGGAUAAGAAGCGCCGGCUAACUACGUG